rnacentral:rRNA from 1 species
UACGUAGGGAGCUAGCGUUGUCCGGAAUCAUUGGGCGUAAAGCGCUUGUAGGCGGCCUGUCAAGUCGCGUGUGAAAUCCCCUGGCUUAACCAGGGAAGUGCGCGCGAAACUGAAGGGCUUGAGUGCCGGAGAGGGUCGCGGAAUUCCCGGUGUAGAGGUGAAAUUCGUAGAUAUCGGGAGGAACACCAGUGGCGAAGGCGGCGACCUGGACGGACACUGACGCUGAGACGCGAAAGCGUGGGGAGCAAACAGG